AAACAGUAAAACAUCAAAACUGCAAGCAAAUCAUUUAUUUAAUGAAAUUAUUUAGCAGUUAAUAUUGCUAACUGACAGAGACAUAUUUAUCAUUUUAGCCAACUGACAGAGACAUUUAUCAUUUUAGACAACUGACAGAGACAUAUUUAUCAUUUUAGACAACUGACAGAGACACAUUUAUCAUUUUAUCCAACUGACAGACAUUUAUCAUUUUAGCCAACUGACAGAGACAUAUUUAUCAUUUUAGACAACUGACAGAGACAUAUUUAUCAUUUUAGACAACUGACAGAGACAUAUUUAUCAUUUUAGACAACUGACAGAAACAUAUUUAUCAUUUUAGACAACUGACAGAGACAUUUAUCAUUUUAGACAACUGACAGAGACAUUUAUCAUUUUAGACAACUGACAGAGACAUUUAUCAUUUUAGACAACUGACAGAAACAUAUUUAUCAUUUUAGACAACUGACAGAGACAUAUUUAUCAUUUUAGACAACUGACAGACAUAUUUUGCACCUAUCUUUACCAAGGGUGCCAAUACUAAUCUAGAGCGUAACUUUGUGUAAAAUUGCUUAGUGCUGAUAUGAUGAACGUUGAUUGUCUGUGCUUGCCCCGCCCCCUGUGUCUGAUAGGCUGCUGCAUGAGAUUUUCCCUCGUGCAUCAGAACUCUACGAACGCGUGGCAGCGAAUCGCGAGCAGUGGACCAAAGUUUCACACAAGUUCACCAUCCGCGGUUUACCCAGCAACAACUCGCUGGACUUCCUGGAUGAGGAGUACGAGCUGAUGCAGGCGCAGGGGGCGUUCGGGACGACGGUCACCGCAUGAAUGGCUGCCUGGACGACGAGUGCAGCAAGACGGACCAAUGAACUCCUCAAAGUGCAACGUUUUCACUCUGAAACAGGUAGACGUUACGCCAUUGUGUCAUCUCCGAGAGGACGGCGUCGUAGACGGAACAAACCGGGGUGUGGUUGGACGACAGUCGAGACACUGGAGUUCCGUGGGCGGAGCUGAUAUGCUGCAGAUAAUGAUGUCAUUUCCUGCCAUUUGAACCAUUUGCGCAAGCAGAACAUUUCACUUGUGGUGGGGCCGGGGGCGGAGCCUCGUGUUUUUGUGUCGAAUAUUUCAGAUAUGUUCUUUAAUUAUUUACUUAACGUUUUGAUAGCUGAACAAAGCCUGAGUGUUUGAUUUUAUAUAUAUUUUCUGUCCUGCUGUAAACAUUAUAAACGCCAUCCAGAUGUAUAGAAGUGACGUUUAGUUGAUGAAACAGUUUACGGGAAAUGUUUCUUUGAGUAAGCAUCGCUGUAGAAAUGUCGUCAUCGCCAGCUAGAUCUUUCAUUUCACACGCAGAAUGAGUGAACAGGGAUUUUUAUUUUACUGUAAAGACAAUCAAACCGUUACAAGUCCUGUACAUCCCUUUUCCCAUCCUCAUAAGUGCGACUGCCCAUGACGAGAGAACACUCGAGAUGAGGUAAGACUGUAUUGAACGUCAUCAACACACACGUUAGUAAAACAUCCGUGUUAGUACCUUAAAGCUGAUUGUCAUGACAUUUAUCCCAGAUGUUCAAAUCUUCUUCCUAAUAGGCUGCUGAAACUUUGCCCUCAGUCCCUCAUCCUGUCACAUGACUCAGCCUCAGUUCAGGUAAGCCCAAAAAAAAAAAAAAAAAUCUGCGCUCAUUUCCCAGACCGAAAUUCCCCCCACAAGCUCCUGUUGGAACGGAGUGCAUUAUGGCUGCGUUCAUGAGAUGAGAAAUUUAACUAUUUAAUGUUUAUCAUCAUAAUAGAUCCAAAGACUGCGAGUUUAACUGUGUCCGGCGAAUUUAAGGCCACUUCAGUACAAAUCUCCUGACUUCUGAGAAUGUCGUACCAGCGGCGUUCCCACUUCUUUUUGUAAGAACAUUUUAAGGGCUACAGCGCCCUCUGAGGCACGUGAAGAGGUUUAUUUCUCAGGCGGAAAACAGAAUUAUGUAUAAAUAUGGAUUUGCCUUAUCACGUAUAUGUGUUGCCUUUUUGAGUAGAGUUAAACUAAUAUAUAUACACACACGCACACACACACACACAGUUUUAAAGCUAUACAGCUCAGCGUGUGCAGGCAUGUUAACACGGGUGUGAAAGUCAAACCCAAGGCUAAAUCCGACUCUGCUAGUAUGCUAGCUGGUGUAAAGUAAAUCUCUAAUCCAAUCGGUGUAAACUAACUAAUUAUUAAUGUUCCCUAUAAAUAAUGUUCGAAAUAUAUAGGGCUAAUUUCAUUUCUUCAUACUUGAGUUCAUUUUCAGCGAGCCCUUUAUCCCAGUCAGGGUCACCGUGGAUCCCAGAUUAAUGGAUUCAUUCCAGAUGUUUUCACAAGGGCUAUACAGAUGGGACUAGUUUUAUAUGGGAAGGCUGGGUGAUGUAAUAAUUACCAGAGCUUCUCUGUGAUUUUAAUCCCGUGUGAACUGGUCAUGUCAGCUAUUUUUCCGGACUUUCUUCCCGGACUGUGCAGGGAAGGUUACGGUGUCUUUUACCUGCUAUAAAAACCCCUGUAAAGAUAACCCAGGUUAAUCUAAUCCCGUGCGAACUGACCGAUACACAGAUUCAGGUAUGACUUGAUUGAUUGGGUUUGGAUAAACAACCAUCUUACUCUCAUUUAUUAACAAAGACUGAUUAAAAAUAAAUCAAAAUGAAUUCAGUCUAAAAAGCAGCUUAAAAAUAUGUGGGGAAAAAAGAAAAGAAACAUCUUCGACAUAAUGUAAAAAAAAAAUAAUAAUAAUGAAAUAAAAAAGAAUGAAAUCUUUUUUGAUUGUCCAGAUAAUUUAGUUGCAGAAAAUCAUGAGAAUAAAACAACGCCAGGGUGCCGAGACUUUCUCUCCUGCGCUAACAUGUCCGCCGCCUCAGCUUUCCACGCGUGACGUACUACUGAAAGCCAGUCGUAUAAACGAAUUUCCGUACACGAGCCAAAUUUCUUACAACAUGAAAAGAAAUCUGUAUAAAGAGGUAACGGUGAGUUUUAUGAGAUCCAGCUCGUUCUGUUAAACGCGACAUCAACACUGACUUGAAUUUCUAUUCCUCCAUGCUGUAGUUUAAUAUGAUCACAGCUUCAGCUCUCAUGUGCAAUAUGUCGUUCCUGUAACGUGUAAAUAACCACGUGUGCUUUUUAAAUGAUUCCUUUUUACAACAUACUGAACAUAUUUUCUGGUAUUUCUUCGUAUCUGAAGGUGGAAAUGAUUUUGUUUCCCUUUUCUGUUUGUUUGUUUUUUGCUUCUUUUUUGUCCCCCUCACUAACAGAUGAACGUUUCUCUCGUGCCGUCCCCGUCACUUUGGAAAAAACGUGACGAACGUUCCUGUAAAUAUGAACUUAAAGAAAUGUUUCUCUAUUCUAUGUAAUUACCAGAUGUUUAAAAAAGCGAGUUAUUUAUCUAUUUAAAACGGAGCGUCUGUGACGACGGUAUUGGUGGUCUUUCUUAGAUUUAGUGGCCUUCCUAAACAUUUCUGCAUCAUUCAGAUUUCAAAUAUUAAAAAAGGUCUAAAACAUGAAAUUUAUAUUAGAAGUGUAACGUUUCGGCUGCUCACGAUGAAAAAACCAAACAAAGCAAUUUUAAAAAUGAUACGAGACUAGCUUCACCUUUAGCAUGGGUUUAAAAAUAAAUCGAUGGUUUGAUCAAGAUUUCAGCUCCAGUUAGUCCCAAUAAAUGAAGAAGAAUAAUUAAAAGGAUAACAGUGAAGAGGUAAGCGAUGUUGUGGGAUUACGGUGGCGCUGGUGGUUCUGUUUGAUCUCUAUUCUGUACUGACGUGUUGGUUUUGCUGGUCGUGGCCUCGAGUGAACACUGUGUACAUAAUGUACAGCUUGGACUGUGUCUUUAAAAACACAUUUCCUGUUUCUGGAAUGGAGAAAAGGCCAGUUACAUCCGAAAUAUAUGAAUAUAAAAAAAACUGCAGUGAAUUUUUAUUCAAAUAAAUUUCCUAAAACGGCUCAAAUGUGUUUUUAUUCAAAUUCUAUAAAGUAGUGGAAAAAGCGAUUAAGCCAAAAAUAAAUACUUUUAUUUAAAAUGUUUAAGGCAUAAAAUACUCUGAAAAACAAACACGCCUCAAGCCUCAAACAGCAGGAAGUUUAAAUAAACAAAACAAAACAAACACACAAACAUCCUUACAACUUCAUCAGGAAUGGUUUUUUUUUUUUGAGGAAUGUUUAGAUUAAGUUUAAGAUUGAAGGACAAACAAACUUCACUUCAAACCUGCUCAACUUUUCAGUAAAAAGUAUUUCAGAUGUUGGUCCUACAGAUGUUUUCUUACAAUGCACCAUCUUCUAAUUUAAAAAGUCAUUAAAACAGAAGUAUAACAAUAUCAGAAGAUCUGUCCUAAACACAGAGCAGAUACCCCAAGUUAACGCAUCACUCUUACAGCAGGGUCUGUACUGAUCCUGUACACAGGGGUGCCACAGCCGCUAACCCAGCCGCUAACCCGCUAACACCAACAUCCGAGUAGGCCGAGAGAAACAAAAUGGAAAUGAAUUAGGUGUUGUACCUCAGCACGGGACGGCUCCACGCUAAACAGCAUAAUUCUCAGAUGUAUUUAGCUUGAACUGAUAUUUAAUCACAGUCUGCACCGAUGUUUCUAUUUAUGAAGUGUUAAAGCUUACUUGAUAAACUUCUAACAAAAUCAGCAUUUUAUCAUAACGGAUAGCGUUGGCGUAACAUCGAGGCCAAAGGUCUGUAAAACAUGUACCUGAGUAAUUACUCAAGUUUUAUUUCUUUGCCUUCAAAGUCCUUCUUGAUUUCUAUUGGCUCACCGGACCGGAGUAGGUGGGUUUACAGGUCAGAGUUCCCUUCGGUGCGGUCCCGAUGCAGAAGCACACGUGUUUUCACGUGUCUCCUGUAUCGCAGGGUCAAAGACCGUAAAUGUUGGCACCCCUGGGUAGGGAAUGUAACGGUCAUUUCUGUGCUCAAACUCUGUGUGGAGAUUUAAUCGUAAUUCUCUUUCACUAUAAGGAUAAUACUGAACAUUACUUUGAUUUAAUCAUCCAAUCCAACCUGCAUUCUCGUCUCGGGUUUACACAUGAUGUAUUUUUAACGUGGUUACAGGUGAACCCUGAAUCUGUUCUUCAUCAACACACACACGCAGUACAGAUUUACUCUCAUUAAAACUCCCUUACAGUAUGAUCUGGAGUAGGUUAAUCAUUUUAUCUGUAAAAACCACGUAUACAGUUUGACUCUGUUACACACUAACAGUGUCUUUACUCGGCUGAUACGAGUUCCAGGAGAAAUCCAGCUUAAGGCCUGUGUGCCACAAAAAAACAUCUUAAAUUCAUAAAGACUCAGGGAAAAAAAGCACAAUUUUUGUGGUAAAGAAAGAAAGAAACGAUGCACUGUAAUGAUUAAACAACGUUCUGACUGCUGGAGAGUAGCGCGGGUUAACUCAGUACAAUUUAUAUAUAUAUAUAUAUAUAUACACAUAAAAAGUUUAUUAGCUGCUAAACCAAUAUUCACAUUAAAUUACAACCCUGCUUCUUAAAGAUGUCUGAUUUUUUCUUUUAUUACAGUGGUGGAAAUUCGCUGUGUUUUCCCUAUGAAUAAUUAAAAAUAUAAUAGAAAUGGUUUCUCUGCGUGGAAAAUCCAGAAACUGAAAAAAAAAAAAAAAAAAUUCUUUCUUGAAUAAACAGCUUAAUAUUUGAUGAUGUUCUGCGUCCGGACAUCUGGGAACAUGUGCUGCAUUGCUCUAAUUAUUAACUUUUUUCAUUUAUUUAAGAGAACACUAAAAUUCUGAGGUACAGAAAAAAGUUCUGACCCUUAUAACGUCCAGGUAUGACAUGGUUUAUUACCAGCACCUGAGAUUGACCCGGUUACGAUUACGCAGUUCUCUUAUAUUACGAUCUUUAUUGAUUUCUUUAAAAUCUGUGGAGUUUACAGUUUAAUAAUGCAGCGUGUUCCAC
ensembl:lncRNA